rnacentral:rRNA from 1 species
GUACCGUCAAGCUCCCACACGUGGGAGGGUUUCUUCCUGUAUAAAAGCAGUUUACAAUCCAUAGGACCGUCUUCCUGCACGCGGCAUGGCUGGUUCAGUCUUGCGACCAUUGACCAAUAUUCCUCACUGCUGCCUCCCGUAGGAGUA